GCAGAGUUGCCCUGCAGCCUCGUCGGCAAAGAGCAGGAAAUUCUGAAAAAAGCCUUAAAAAUGCUCCGAAACAGGAGGGAGGACCUCCGAAGGUCAGGAAAGAAGAGAGAAGGACUUCAGCUUCACUCCAACGACGUGUAAGACUGCUGAAAAAAGGUUGGAGAACAGUGGCCCUUGGAGAAAGAACAGAAGCACUUGAGGUUUGCCUCCAGGACAUCACACCUCCUAUUAAGCGCCUUUACAAAGCAGGAGAAAGAGUGAAAUGGAGGAAAAAAUACAUAGAUGGGUCAAGUAAGCAGCAGGAGCAAAGAGCAGAAGAGGAAAUAGGAAAGAAGAAGGGAGAGGAAAAGAGAGAGAGAGGAGAGAAGACAGAUGAGGAGGGAAAAGCAGUGGAAGAAGGAAGCAACAAACAUAAACUUAUAGCCCAACGAAGGCUUUCCAAGCCCAAGGGGGAAAGCGGCCGGUAAAAGGAAGGAAGCAACAAAUGUAAAGGAGGAAGAGGCUAUGAAGA